UGGUGUCUCGAAGGUACCUGCAUGGAGGCCAACAGCAUUCUAUGGGAAACCAGUGCUGCGUAUUCAGCUUCGAGAGAUUGUUCAGUCUACACAGUGUGAGCGUCCUGAUGUGAGCCCCACGGCCGAGGUGACUGGAAUCCUGCAAGUGCAUGCAGAGCUGGAAUGCCGUGAGCUCUCUGUUACCGUGGUGUCCAGCGAGGCACUGUCACCUACUCUGGCAGUUGGCGUGCAACUCACCACUCACCAAGGUGCACAAGGUG
rnacentral:lncRNA from 1 species